rnacentral:misc_RNA from 1 species
AUGAUAUCUCUGUCCUG